UACGUAGGGGGCAAGCGUUGUCCGGAUUUAUUGGGCGUAAAGAGCGUGUAGGCGGCUUUGCAAGUCCGUUGUGAAAACUCGAGGCUCAACCUCGAGACGCCGGUGGAAACUGCAAAGCUAGAGUCCGGAAGAGGAGAGUGGAAUUCCUGGUGUAGCGGUGAAAUGCGCAGAUAUCAGGAGGAACACCAAUGGCGAAGGCAGCUCACUGGGACGGUAUUGACGCUGAGACGCGAAAGCGUGGGGAGCAAACAGG
rnacentral:rRNA from 1 species